rnacentral:tRNA from 1 species
AUUUAAAUAGCUUAUAGUUAGAGCAUAGUACUGAAGAUACUAAGGAAAUAAUUUUAUUUUUAAAUA